UACGUAGGGGGCAAGCGUUGUCCGGAUUUAUUGGGCGUAAAGAGCGUGUAGGCGGCUAUGCAGGUCCGCUGUGAAAACUCGAGGCUCAACCUCGAGACGUCGGUGGAAACCGCAUGGCUAGAGUCCGGAAGAGGAGAGUGGAAUUCCUGGUGUAGCGGUGAAAUGCGCAGAUAUCAGGAAGAACACCAAUGGCGAAAGCAGCUCUCUGGGACGGUACUGACGCUGAGACGCGAAAGCGUGGGGAGCGAACAGG
rnacentral:rRNA from 1 species